rnacentral:rRNA from 1 species
GACGAACGCUGGCGGCGUGCCUAAUACAUGCAAGUCGAGCGGACCAAUAGAAGCUUGCUUCUGUUGGUUAGCGGCGGACGGGUGAGUAACACGUGGGCAACCUGCCUGUAAGACUGGGAUAACUUCGGGAAACCGGAGCUAAUACCGGAUAAUUUACCCCCUCGCAUGAGGGGGUGCUGAAAGUCGGUUCACGCUGACACUUACAGCAGGGCCCGCGGCGCAUUAGCUAGUUGGUGGGGUAAUGGCUCACCAAGGCGACGAUGCGUAGCCGACCUGAGAGGGUGCUCGGCCACACUGGGACUGAGACACGGCCCAGACUCCUACGGGAGGCAGCAGUAGGGAAUCUUCCACAAUGGACGAAAGUCUGAUGGAGCAACGCCGCGUGAGCGAUGAAGGCCUUCGGGUCGUAAAGCUCUGUUGUUAGGGAAGAACAAGUAUCGGAGUAACUGCCGGUACCUUGACGGUACCUAACCAGAAAGCCACGGCUAACUACGUGCCAGCCGCCGCCGUAA